rnacentral:rRNA from 1 species
GUGACUGCGUACCUUUUGUAUAAUGGGUCAGCGACUUAUAUUCUGUAGCAAGGUUAACCGAAUAGGGGAGCCGAAGGGAAACCGAGUCUUAACUGGGCGUUAAGUUGCAGGGUAUAGACCCGAAACCCGGUGAUCUAGCCAUGGGCAGGUUGAAGGUUGGGUAACACUAACUGGAGGACCGAACCGACUAAUGUUGAAAAAUUAGCGGAUGACUUGUGGCUGGGGGUGAAAGGCCAAUCAAACCGGGAGAUAGCUGGUUCUCCCCGAAAGCUAUUUAGGUAGCGCCUCGUGAAUUCAUCUCCGGGGGUAGAGCACUGUUUCGGCAAGGGGGUCAUCCCGACUUACCAACCCGAUGCAAACUGCGAAUACCGGAGAAUGUUAUCACGGGAGACACACGGCGGGUGCUAACGUCCGUCGUGAAGAGGGAAACAACCCAGACCGCCAGCUAAGGUCCCAAAGUCAUGGUUAAGUGGGAAACGAUGUGGGAAGGCCCAGACAGCCAGGAUGUUGGCUUAGAAGCAGCCAUCAUUUAAAGAAAGCGUAAUAGCUCACUGGUCGAGUCGGCCUGCGCGGAAGAUGUAACGGGGCUAAACCAUGCACCGAAGCUGCGGCAGCGACGCUUAUGCGUUGUUGGGUAGGGGAGCGUUCUGUAAGCCUGUGAAGGUGUGCUGUGAGGCAUGCUGGAGGUAUCAGAAGUGCGAAUGCUGACAUAAGUAACGAUAAAGCGGGUGAAAAGCCCGCUCGCCGGAAGACCAAGGGUUCCUGUCCAACGUUAAUCGGGGCAGGGUGAGUCGACCCCUAAGGCGAGGCCGAAAGGCGUAGUCGAUGGGAAACAGGUUAAUAUUCCUGUACUUGGUGUUACUGCGAAGGGGGGACGGAGAAGGCUAUGUUGGCCGGGCGACGGUUGUCCCGGUUUAAGCGUGUAGGCUGGUUUUCCAGGCAAAUCCGGAAAAUCAAGGCUGAGGCGUGAUGACGAGGCACUACGGUGCUGAAGCAACAAAUGCCCUGCUUCCAGGAAAAGCCUCUAAGCAUCAGGUAACAUCAAAUCGUACCCCAAACCGACACAGGUGGUCAGGUAGAGAAUACCAAGGCGCUUGAGAGAACUCGGGUGAAGGAACUAGGCAAAAUGGUGCCGUAACUUCGGGAGAAGGCACGCUGAUAUGUAGGUGAAGUCCCUCGCGGAUGGAGCUGAAAUCAGUCGAAGAUACCAGCUGGCUGCAACUGUUUAUUAAAAACACAGCACUGUGCAAACACG